CAUUUGCAUCAAACACAAGUAGUCUAUUACAUUCCUUUACAUCACGAUUUCCUUUAACCAAAAUAUAAUUUACAUCAUCUUUACAUUACAUUGUUUUCACCUUACUUUCUCAACAUACAAAAGUUGAAUACAUCAAGAGUAGGGUAUGCCUAUAUAACUCUGGGGUCGCUAUCUACGGCGCGACUCCCUUGCCUCGAUCCUCCGCCGCCCCGCUCGCGUACGGAUCUGC
rnacentral:lncRNA from 1 species